AUGGUAGCAAGUUUCAAUUCAAAACUUAAAAAAAUCUAACCUCCUGACAGGUCAAAGUAGGAAAAAGACACACUUAUUUUCAGUAGGGACACACCUAAUUACUAAAUCAGGAAGCCUAAAGGCUCUUACCUGCCAGCUGUAGUAGUCUGGUUCUGCAUUUCUAACAGUUUUCUCACAUUGAAAAUCAUAUUUCCUGCUACACUUCAGACAAAGAAAGCUCGUAGAACAGUUGCUGAAAACCUUCUCCUUUAAUAUAAGCAUAACUAUUUUGUUUCUAUUGCAACUAUAUAAAUCUACCUUCUGCUUAGCCACCUGUAGAAAAUUGCACCCAAAAUCAUGCAGAAAGUUAUUGCACUGAACCUUGAAGACAGGUACUCUGACAUCCAGCUGGAAAUUCAAACUGUUCUAAAACUGAGAAAGUUUCUAAAUAGCCAGUAUUUGAAGCCAUGAAAGGGUUUGGUCAAACAACAAGAGCAACAAAAAUUAGGGGUGCACCUCUGAGGACAAGAAACAUGCUGUCUUUGUGCCAAUUAGAGGAGAUACAGUGUCUGACUGGCUUUUUUAUUGCUUCAAAACAGAGAUAAUGACCUGGACAUCUGGGACAAUCCUUUCGUUAGUUUUGGCUACAUAAGAGAUUGCAUUGUUCAGACAAAAAGGUUGCAAGGUACCCUCUUCAGGUUUGCGUGUCAAGGUUUUGAUACAGGGGUGGCUGCUCUGAGCAGAGAAUCUGCUAGAAGCUUUCCCUACGUCUCAUAGAACCACUGCCAGGUGGCUCCAAGAUGGACCCACAGCUGGGUGAGACCAAGCCUGUCAGCAAUGGUGGUAGCACCUCUAGGUUAACAUAUUUAAGAAGAGAUACAUCUGCAGCCCAUGGAGGACCCUACACCAGAGCAGGUGGAUGCCUGAAGGAAGCUGGAAAGCACACAGUGGAGCAGGUUUUCUUUCAGGAUUUGUGACCUCUUGGGGCACCCAGGCUGGAGCAAUCUGUUCCUGAAGGAGUGCACUCUGUGGAAGGGACCCACACUGGAGAAGUUUGUAAAGAACUGCACCCUGUGGGAAGGACUCAUGUUGGAGAAUUUCAUGGUGGACUGUCUCCCGUGGCAGGAACCUCGUGCUUGAGCAGAGGAAGAGUGUGAGGAGUCCUCGCCCUGAGCAGGAGGGUUUGGGCUUCUUUCAUCUACUAACCUCUGAACUGCAAAGCAUGAACUUUCAAGACAAAAUACUGCAUGAUAAAGACGACAUUGUUGAUUGCCUCAGACUUGGAAAACUUUGCUACCACCAGUCUACACUAUUCUCCCUAACACAGAAACUGCCUAUGAACGCCAAGUAUUUCUUCCAAGUAUCAAAUAGCAUAGAUACAAGACAAUGAUGUAACUCUCUGGGAAGAAGGAUACUAAACAUGUCUUUGAUGUUACAUGGAGAAUGGGUAAGGAUGACUUCAGGCUCUGAGGGCAAAUGGCAUGAACUAGAUCAUGUCUGUAAUCCCCAUUUGUCUUACCCCAACAGGGAUAACACUUUUUAAGGCAGAGUGAUGGUGUCCAUACCUAUGUAAUUUUGGGCUCUGGAACAUUGCUGGACUCCACGAGUGCUACUAAAGCCCUUAGACAUAGUUCCUAUCUUCAAAUCACCUUCAUUUUAAGAAAGUACACUUGUGGAGGCUUUUGAUGAUUUCACAAAUUUGUCUACAGCCAUGUUAGUAUAUCUGCGUUGGUAAUGAAUAACUGAGAUUUAUUGGUUUUCCUCUUUUUUUUUCCUUUCUUAUUUCAAAUAAUCUGCUCUUUUUUUCCUUGAUUUUGUUUUCCCUCUUUUUGUUGGCUAAUAGAUUAGAGCAUAAAGUAGGACAUAAAGCCUAUGGUAAAUGUCACGUGCCAAUAUGCAUCUGUGGCCUCAGGACAUAAAGAAUGCUGAGGGGAGGCAAUGUCUGUUACAAAAUUUCCCCAACUGUUCAAUAUGAAUUUAAUAUGAAGUACAGUCUUGUUCUUUUCGUUAUUUUUUUUUUUCAAAUUAGAUCCUAGGGUAAAUGCUCCCUCCAAUUUAUAUUCUGGGAUUCUUAUUUUAUGGCACAUAGAUACCUUUUGUAAAGAAUCUGCACUUACACCAGGCAAGGUGCCUGACCCUUUGGUCCAGCUGUGGCCAGUACUACGGCCUCAGAGAAAAUAAGAAACUCAUUCCAACUCUCCCCAUAGCUCAGUCCUGGCUCAUGCUCUGGCUUCCACACAUAGCAGUUCCAACCUUUUGCACUGUGUUCAGUCUUAUAGUUUUUUCCAACAUGGAACUAUUGAUUGCCGUUUUCACAGCUUCAAAUGCAAGUCUUACCCCAGGCUUUCAGAGUUAAAGUAUUUUAAAAAUAUUUUCCAUAUUACUACCACUGGGUAGCACACUGACAUUUUCCCUUCUACUUUUGAUUUGGUGUCUCUUUUAUCUUGAAAGAAUUAUUAUUUUUCUCUCCUGAGAAGAGUCCUGGUGGACAACAAAUUGAAGAUGAAUGAGCAAUGCUGACUUACGGCAAAGAAAUGAAAAAUCAGCUUGGGCUCAAUGGAAGUAGCGUUGUCAGCAGGUUGAGGGAGGCAAUACUUCUCCUCUGCUCAGCACUGCUGAGGCCACAUAUGUAGUACAUUGUGUAAGUUUGGACUUCCCCAUAUAAGAAAGUCAUGGACACACUGAAGUGAGGCCAGUAAAGGACUAUGUAGAUAUGAAGGGCCUGAAACAUCUGACAUAUGGGAAGUAUGUAAUGACAUAUUACAUAUAUGAUGAAAAUUUUCAAUGACAGAGAGGAACUUUCAUACAGUGAAACCACUUCAACAUAAGUACCUGGAAGGUACUUUCAUCAGGAACUGUCACUUUUCAUCAAACAAAAGGUGUCUUCUAUAAAUUAUUACUGUAACUGAUAGCAAUAUAUCUUAGCCAACAAAACAGUCAAUAAACAUAAACCCAGUAUUCAGUAAUCUGCUCAAUAUUUUAGUCAGUGCCACAAUACAAAAAAUUUAUUUGCAAAUCUUUCCUCUAUAUCGAGUGCCUUGUUUGUCUAAAAAAUGACCCUUUCACAAUAAGAAAUACAAUUCUUUAUUUAUUUAAAA